UCAAGUGACUAAGUGUAUGUGGUGGAUGCCUUGGCGAUCACAGGCGAAGAAGGACGUAGUAGCUUGCGAUAAGCUGCGGGGAGCCGGCAAACGGGCAUUGAUCCGCAGAUUUCCGAAUGGGGGAACCCACCGACUUAGGUCGGUAUCACGCACUGAAUACAUAGGUGUGUGAGGCGAACGGAGCGAACUGAAACAUCUAAGUAGCUCCAGGAAAAGAAAUCAACCGAGAUUGCGAAAGUAGCGGCGAGCGAAAUCGCAGCAGCCCAGUGUUCUGAUAGCACGAACGACAGCAGAAAGGUCUGGAAAGGCCUGCUAUAGAGGGUGAUAGCCCCGUAUGCGAAAUCGGACGUGUGGUACUAAGGAACCGAUAAGUAGGGCGGGACACGUGACAUCCUGUCUGAAGAUGGGGGGACCAUCCUCCAAGGCUAAAUACUCGUGAUCGACCGAUAGUGAACCAGUACUGUGAAGGAAAGGCGAAAAGAACCCCGGGAGGGGAGUGAAAUAGAACCUGAAACCGCAUACAUACAAACAGUAGGAGCCCGUGUAGUCGGGUGACUGCGUACCUUUUGCAUAAUGGGUCAGCGACUUACGUUUUGUGGCGAGCUUAACCGAGUAGGGGAGGCGUAGCGAAAGCGAGUUCGAAUAGAGCGAGAAGUCUCAAGGCGUAGACCCGAAACCAGAUGAGCUAUCCAUGGCCAGGUUGAAGGUGUGGUAACACACACUGGAGGACCGAACCGACUAGUGUUGCAAAAUUAGCGGAUGAGCUGUGGAUAGGGGUGAAAGGCUUAACAAAUCUGGAGAUAGCUGGUUCUCCCCGAAAACUAUUGAGGUAGUGCCUCGUGUAUUGCUCCAGGGGGUAGAGCACUGUUAUGGCUAGGGGGACAUGGCGUCUUACCAAACCAUGGCAAACUCCGAAUACUUGGAAGUAAGAGCACGGGAGACAGAGCACCGGGUGCUAACGUCCGGACUCAAGAGGGAAACAACCCAGACCGCCGUUUAAGGUCCCAAAUAUUGACUAAGUGGAAAACGAAGUGUGAAGGCUAAGACAGUCAGGAAGUUGGCUUAGAAGCAGCCAUCCUUCAAAGAAAGCGUAAUAGCUCACUGAUCGAGUCCUCAUGCGCGGAAGAUGUAACGGGGCUAAGUCAAUAACCGAAAGCGCGGAUUUGCACGAUGAGUGCAAGUGGUAGGGGAGCGUUCUGUAAGCCUGCGAAGGUGGUUCGAGAGGACUGCUGGAGGUAUCAGAAGUGCGAAUGCUGACAUGAGUAACGUUAAAGCGGGUGAAAAGCCCGCUCGCCGUAAGCCCAAGGUUUCCUGCUCUACGUUCAUCGGAGCAGGGUGAGUCGGCCCCUAAGGCCAGGCUGAGAAGCGUAGUCGAUGGGAAGCAGAUUAAUAUUUCUGCACCAUGUGCAAGUGCGAUGGGGGGACGGAGUGCGAAAGAUCAUCCGGGUGUUGGAUGUCCCGGUUUGUGAGUGUAGAAGGCCGACAGGCAAAUCCGUCGGCGGAUCUUCGAGACAAAGCAUCGAGGUUCUACGGAACCGAAGUGAUCGGAAGUGCUUCCAGGAAAAGCCUCUAAGCUCCAGCUUGCAUGUGACCGUACCGUAAACCGACACUGGUGGGCGAGUUGAAUAUACUCAGGCGCUUGAGAGAACUCGGGAGAAGGAACUCGGCAAAUUGACACCGUAACUUCGGGAUAAGGUGUGCCUUUGUAGCGUGAAGAGAGAAACACUCGGAGCGUGAAGAGGCCUCAGAGAAUCGGUGGCUGCAACUGUUUAUUAAAAACACAGCACUCUGCAAAGACGAAAGUCGACGUAUAGGGUGUGAUGCCUGCCCGGUGCUGGAAGAUUAAGUGAUGGGGUGAGAGCUCCUGAUCGAAGUCCCAGUAAACGGCGGCCGUAACUAUAACGGUCCUAAGGUAGCGAAAUUCCUUGUCGGGUAAGUUCCG
rnacentral:rRNA from 1 species